CAAAUGCCUCAUAGCCUGCCAGUCAAAUACUUAACAUGAAACCAAACUGUACGUGUUGAAUUCUCAAGCAAGUUACAUAAAAAUACAGGUAAAGAACUUCGAUGAUGAGCAAAAACAAAAGAAACUGCCAUUAAUUUUGCUAAAGCUAUCGACGACAAAGAAGUUAAAGUGGGCAAACAACUUUGAACAUUACCUGGAAAGAGAAGAAGGUGUUUCAAUGAAGACACGUUAAUGAUCAAUUUAAACAGAAGGGUUGCGAACUGGAAGAGGAAGCUUACCAACCAGAAAAGCACACGCUUUCCAUUUCCCAGUUCUGGAGGCUUGGACAGGACGCCCACGGAGAUCUACAGUGCCAUCUUGGGUGCAGCAUUUGGUAUCCAUCAAAGAAACUUAUCGAUUGGAGGUUGACAGCAGCGAGAACAGAAGAUAUCGUAAGAGCAAGAGUGUUCAGGGUUAGUAGAGCUUGUAGCACUUUAUAUAGGCCAAAUUGGCCAAUUGCUCCCUUUGUUCCGAGAAAUAAAGCGCGCAUAAUACCGUCA